UACGGAGGGUGCAAGCGUUAUCCGGAUUCACUGGGUUUAAAGGGUGCGUAGGUGGGCAGGUAAGUCAGUGGUGAAAUCCUGUAGCUUAACUACAGAACUGCCAUUGAUACUAUUUGUCUUGAAUACCCUGGAGGUGAGCGGAAUAUGUCAUGUAGCGGUGAAAUGCUUAGAUAUGACAUAGAACAUCUAUUGCGAAGGCAGCUCACUACGGGAAUAUUGACGCUGAGGCACGAAAGCGUGGGGAGCGAACAGG
rnacentral:rRNA from 1 species